UACGUAGGGGGCUAGCGUUGUCCGGAAUCAUUGGGCGUAAAGAGCGUGUAGGCGGUCCGGUAAGUCCGCUGUGAAAGUCGGGGGCUCAACCCUCGAAUGCCGGUGGAUACUGUCGGGCUAGAGUGCGGAAGAGGCGAGUGGAAUUCCUGGUGUAGCGGUGAAAUGCGCAGAUAUCGGGAGGAACACCAGUGGCGAAGGCGGCACUCUGGGCCGGUACUGACGCUGAGGAGCGAAAGCGUGGGGAGCGAACAGG
rnacentral:rRNA from 1 species